rnacentral:rRNA from 1 species
UUCCGGGGCUAAAACUUACUACCGAAGCUACGGCAUCAGGAAUGAUGGGUAGGGGAGCUUCCCAUACGGGUUGAAGCAGGACCGUAAGGACAUGUGGACAGUAUGGGAGGGAGAAUGUUGGCAUGAGUAGCGAGAUGUGGGUGGGAAUCCCACAGGCCGUAAACCCAAGGUUUCCAGGGGAAGGUUCGUCCGCCCUGGGUUAGUCGGGACCUAAGCUGAGGCCGAAAGGCGUAGGUGAUGGACAACAGGUUGAUAUUCCUGUACUACCGAU